rnacentral:rRNA from 1 species
ACGGGAGGCAGCAGUGGGGAAUAUUGGGCAAUGGGCGAAAGCCUGACCCAGCGACGCCGCGUGAGGGAAGAAGGUCUUCGGAUUGUAAACCUUUGUUGUAAGGGACGAAACAAAUGACGGUACCUUACGAGGAAGCCACGGCUAACUACGUGCCAGCAGCCGCGGUAAUACGUAGGUGGCGAGCGUUAUCCGGAUUUACUGGGUGUAAAGGGUGUGUAGGCGGGAUAGCAAGUCAGGUGUGAAAACUGUGGGCUCAACUCACAGACUGCGCCUGAAACUGUUGUUCUUGAGUGUCGGAGGGGUAAGUGGAAUUCCCGGUGUAGCGGUGAAAUGCGUAGAUAUCGGGAGGAACAUCGGUGGCGAAGGCGACUUACUGGACGGCAACUGACGCUGAGACACGAAAGUGUGGGGAGCAAACAGGAUUAGAUACCCUGGUA